CCCCAAUUUCUCCAUUAGGUAUUGCGAGCUUAUACUCCCCUCCCAACUUAGGAACCGUAGCAACCCACGGAACGGCGCAUCUAUCUUCUUCCCUUCACCUUCGCUGGGUCUCGUGUUUCCUGUCAAUGCCGGCAAACUGUCUCCUUGACUUCCCUCCAGCCGCUGACCGACUCCCGUCUCCGAUGGAGGUUGCGGUCUUGAAGAUUAGAGUCGUGGUUGUUGCAGCUCUCCACGAUCAUUAUCAUUUCAUCCCUAGAAGCACCAUCUAUUCCACGGUCGCCGUUCAUCUCUACGUCGCGCAUCUCUGUUCCAGCAUCGCCGGUGUCAGUUUGGUUCCACAGUUCAUGGAUGAUUGGUCCGGGUCUUACCUAAACUCCAAUAAAUGCAGUGGUUGGACACAUUCCCUUUGCAGUCUUAAGUGCAUCGUAUUGCAUUUGAACACUGUUGAGCAUCCAGGAUAUGUAAACACUCCAGAGUUACAUGAAUCGACUGCAUAUAAUUUACAAAGAGGGCUUGUGUUGAAAUAAAUGAGAAUUCAUGCUAAAUAUAGUCUAGAUUCAAAAUGUGAAAUUUAGCAAGUACUAUCUGAAAUACAAAGGGACUCUAGCAUGUGCCGACUUGAAGUAAACUAACUGAUCAGCAUUCACCUGUGGUAAGGACUUUGUUGAUGUAAGGUCUUGGCUCUCUGCUGAACUAUAUGCUUCUUUUGGAUCAAUGGUUACAUGAAUUAUCAGUAAUGAGAUAACGAUGAAUCUUUGCAAUUAAUCUGGGUUGUUUUUCGCAUAAAUGUCAGAGUAACCACAUGGGUGGUUUAUCCUCAUCGAUAUUGUGAUAUGGUGAUGUCAUAUGUGGUUGUUUAUAUGUUAUAAAUUGCUUUCAGCCUUUGCCAAUGCCUAAUGGAUUUUCCUGAAUAGGAUGCAUGUUUCUAUGAUCUAUCGUAUUGGAUUUAUGUGUUGAUUUUUGCAUUUAGUUAUAUUAUUCUUUUUUUUCAAUAAAUGCUGGGUUUUUUUCUGUUUAAAAUGGUAUUUCAAUUGUGUGUUCGUUAAUUUUGUGCUAAAGGAUUUUUUCUAUUACUACUCCUACUGGAAAGUACUUUCCUAACCUCUUCUCUGUUUUACUAAUUUGACAUGCCUGGAAAGAUUUACAAAUUAGUGGGUUAGUUGAAAACUUGAAAUCUGAGGCUUGAAAGUUGAAACCUCCUAUAUUCAUUUUUUCUUCUGUAGGCAACAAUUUAUUAGCUAAACUAUUCUGUUUUGAACUUACAAUUACAACAGAUAUGAUUAUGAUGAUGAUAAUUCUAUUAUAUAGUUGAUUGAUUAUUAUUGUUUUGUGUGUGAAUCAUGGAAGAAGUUGUUGGAUAUGUUUAUACAGACAAGCAUUUCUAUUGCUCUGGAAAGUUAUAGAGGAUUGAAAAGCCAGUUGCUUUUUAUCAGGUUUUGGAUCAAUUGAGUGGUUGGAAUAGUAUUUGGUAUAAAUAAUUUUUUUAUUGUAUUAUUUUUUGCAAAUCUGUGUGAUACAGUGAAAACCACUCACUGUGGAUGUGGGGGUUUCUAUAUAUGACAAUAUCAUGGUUCUUCUAUUACAUUGUGUGAUGCAGUUUUUUUUUAAUUCCUAAUUAUUAUACCAUUAUUAUAACUAUAUAUUUUUCUUAGACUAAAUUAUAAUUUUAGUUCUCAUAAAAUUCAAUUUAUUUACAAAAUUAUUUUUGGAAAAAAAUGGAUAUUUUAAGUUUUCAAAUGUCAUCUUAAUUUGAUAGGGUUUCAGAAAUUUUAUUUUGUAUAUGAAAAUAAUUCAUAUAUUUAAAUUUUUUUUUGUUGUGGGUUAAUUAGAAAUUUUAUUCUAGAGUACAUAUAUACAAUUAUUAUCUAGAUAUAGUUUAUCUUUUUUUUAUGGUAUACAAGUUAUCCAUCCAGAAGAUAUAAAAAAAAGAGAAAAAUCACUUUAAAAGAUUGUUAGGAAGAUUUAAUUAUUAAAAAAGAUUUUUAAUAUUAAAAUUAUUAACAAUAAUUAAUUUUUAUUUUAACAUAUAUCAUAUUUAAGAAGACAAUUUUUUUAUAAAAAAAUAAAUAUAUUCUUCAUUAUUUUUUUAGUUAUUUUUUUUAAUCCGUAUGUUAAUCUUUUUUAUAUUGCUAAAAUAUUUCUUGAUUACUUAAUUAUUUAUUUCUUUGUCUUCUGUGGUUUUCCAUCAUUCUUUUCUCUAAUUAUCAGUAGAAAAUAAAAAAAAUUAUGAAAGUUACUUAAACUUUAGGAGAAAUAAAAUUUAUUCAUAUAAAAAAUUCUAAAAUAAAUAAAAAAUGAUAUUAAGAUAUAUUUUUCUCAAUAUUUAGUUCUUUUUAACUAUCAUAAAUAUUAACAAAAAUUUAGUCCUUAAUAAUUGUGUGAUUAUUUAUCUUCUUGAAUAAUUAAUUUGUCAUAACCACUAUUUAGUGUAAUUUAUUUUAAAAAAAAGUAUCCAGAUAAUUUUAAUUAUUAUCUUCUAUCUUCUACUAUCUUCUAUUAGUAUUUUCCCUUUUUUAAAGUCACCAACAAAACCUAAAAAAACCAAAGGUCCCUCCCUUCUCUCUCUCCCACACGCAAAACAAAAAAAAGAGAACCUCAGAAGAAGUAACUGAGUGACCGUCUGUCAUCUCUCUUUGGUGUCUCACGUCACUCAACCCAGAAACUCCACCACCCAACAUUACCAGGGUUAAACCCCAUAUCCUCCUACAAAUUCCAGAACUCUCGUCCUCUGCGGUGUCUCCCGGUGCCUUCGAUUCCUACGAACGAGAUAUCUCUGACAGUUUCUCAGCGGAUAGUGCUCUUGCUUGGGCUCUUGAGAGAUAUCCAGAAUACAUAGUUCGUCCAAUGAGCAAGAGACGUGAUGAUAAGUUUUGAAGUGUGGAUAAGAGCUAAUUUUGCUGAUCAUUCUGAUUAUUAAGCCAGAUUUAAGAUAGCUGAAAUAGGUUUUUUGGGCAUUAUUUUUCUACGAUGAAUCUCGUUGCACGUAGAAGUGAUCGCACAAGGUUGAGAUUAUAUUGUUUUCCUUUUUUAUUAAGGAUUUCUUGUUAUGUAUGCUGUAAACAUAUUGAGUUGGGUUAAUUUAGGCGUUUCUUUGGCACAAGAGAGCAUUGACAAAAUGAUAAGAAAGAAACAAUUAUGUUUCGUGCAUACAGAGGACGGGUAUAUAUUUAGAUUAAUAUAUCAUUUCUGUUUUUUUUUUUAAUCUUGGGCCAUGUGAUCAAUACAUAAAUCAUAUAUAACUGAAUUAGUAAAAUUAAUGGUAAAAAAUUAAAUGUAUAUGAUAAGUCUCUUUUUGUUUUUAGGAUGAUGUUUUGCUUCCAAUGAUAGUAGUUGCUAGAUAUGGGGUCGAGCUGAAACAUGAAAUUGUCCUGAUUGAUCUUUGUGACAACUGUAUCAAGCUUAAAUUAAAAACCGGAGAAAACAAAAUUUGGAUACCUUCCGGUGAGAUAGACAAGUUAUUUGCUUUCUAUAAGUUCAAGAGUGUGGUGAAGAUCGGUCUAAUGCAUGUCACAAGUGUCAUAUAUUUUGUGGCUCCUGUGGAUAGGCGAAAUAAACCAAUUUAUAUGGAUUUUUAUGCUUUUCACUAUGUUAAAGAUAUUAUUAAUAUAUCUUUACUAAAAAUAAUUCAAGAUCAGUUGGGAUUGAAUUAUUUUGAUGGAUUGGAUGAUGUUUCAUAUGGUAUAGAAGAUAAUGAGAUGCAUGAUCAUAUGAAAAGUUCUAGUAUGUAAAGGAUUCUAAAGAACAUUUCCAAUAGAACUACUGUCAAGAAAAGGUCAAUAACAAAAAAAAAGAGGGUGUGUUAAUUUUUUUUGGUUUAAUAUUAAAUUGUUCUUACAUCUUUCACUGUUACAAUUUUUAGUUUCCUUAUAUUUUUCCUAUCAAUUAAAAUUGAAAUAUAUAGAUGUGUUGCUGAACAUCACAGCAAGAGGUUGACUGAGUAUGAUAUGAAGGCUGAUCGAUUUUAUAUUCCCUGUGAGUUUGCUAGAUUACUACUUACGAGUGGAGGAUUGGAAGAUUGAAAAUUUACUGUUAAGGACUCAAAGAUUGCUAAAACCUUUGCAAUGCAUGUCUUGAAAAGUAAGGGAAGGAAUCGAGAGUACAAAAUAGGACCCAAAUGAAAAGAUUUUGUCAGGAUGCAUAAACUUAGGCCUGAAUAUUUAUGUAUAUUUAGUAGUGUUUCGAACGAAGAUCAUUUGAUUCAGGUUUUUGUGGUUAGAAAGUAAUUAUUCAGCUGCUUUGAGACUUUCUUUUAUUAAUUUUGGGAUAUGUAUUCUAUUUUGGAUCCUGAAUUUUUCAUUAUCUAAAAUUCAAAAUAUGUAUGGGAUGUGAAUUUCUUGGUUAA